rnacentral:rRNA from 1 species
UAAGGAAUAUUGGACAAUGGACGAAAGUCUGAUCCAGCCAUGCCGCGUGAAGGAUUAAGGUCCUCUGGAUUGUAAACUUCUUUUAUAUGGGGCGAAAAAAGGGCAUUCUUGCUCACUUGACAGUACCAUAUGAAUAAGCACCGGCUAACUCCGUGCCAGCAGCCGCGGUAAUACGGAGGGUGCAAGCGUUAUCCGGAUUUACUGGGUUUAAAGGAUGCGUAGGCUGAUAGGUAAGUCAGUGGUGAAAUCCUGGAGCUUAACUCCAGAACUGCCAUUGAUACUAUCUAUCUUGAAUAUUGUGGAGGUUUGCGGAAUAUGUCAUGUAGCGGUGAAAUGCUUAGAUAUGACAUGGAACACCUAUUGCGAAGGCAGCAGGCUACACAUAUAUUGACGCUGAGCACG